rnacentral:misc_RNA from 1 species
CGAGCUGAACUUGAUGCACUAGCUAGAAGGUAACAAUGCAAAACUUGUAUAAAAUCCUGAAGUUCUCAUAAUGGUGUAAUUUUCUUUGAAUUCUUCUUUUAUGUGACAAUUCAGGCUUCAAGGAAUUACUAAAUCUAUCUCAAGGUAUCCAACAUCCAGACGCCAUUUCCAAAAUUUUGUGAAGAGACUGUUAGAAGAUCUGGUGAAGAAGAAUGUUGACAGCAAAUCAAGCAAUGGAACUCCAGCAUUUUCAAGAUCAAAAAGUGCCCUUGCUAUCUUCCAGAAAUCUUUUAAAAAUAGAUCAAGCUCCAAUGACUCUGAUCAAACGCCACAACCAAUUGAAAGAGACGUAGAAAUUGUAUAACAAUGUGUUAGUAGCGGAACAGAAACCAUCUCAUUUUCAAUUUUGUUUUGGCUAAGUGUAAUUAUUAUUUUAAUCAUCUUGGCUCAGGGAGCUACAUUUUGUUUUCAUCUUCCUAUUGCUGUCACCUUAGGAGAUUAAUGCAAGUCCAUGCAUGAAAUCAAAAUUAUUAUUUAUUAUCAAGUCUCUGAAUUUUUGAUUUGGUGUCUAAGUUAUAGGAAAAUUCACAAUAAUUCGCAAAGCAAAGAAAAAGAUUAAUUGCUACUAAAAAAAAAAAAGAAAAGAAAAGA